UAGCAAGCUAGGUGGCGCGGCGGCGAGAGUUAGUCAAGGGCGCCUCGAAGACUGACCGUCAGACCCCGCCGCCGCCGCCGCCAUCUUCCGGCCACCCGACCCCGCCCCGCGAGGGGGCGCGGCCAGGUACCUGUUAGACUCCUGCGCGGUGCUCGCACAAUUGUUCCGAGAGCCCGGCGGCCGUCGCCUCGUUCAAUAAUUUGAGCCUAGGGUGGGAUGGGGUCUCGGUAUUGCCUCUGCGGGGCGCUGCGUGUGUGCAGUUUGGGGGGCCAGGGGUAGAACGGUGUAGACGCCUUUGGGGAAUGGAGACCCUGCUGAGGCCUGGUGGCAGCUGCCAUCAAAAGCUCCCUCGGCCUCCCCGGGUGGCUCUCCCCGAAGCUCCCGGGACGCCGAGACCGCCUCCGAGGGUCGGAGCCUGAACACUUGCCUUCUGUCUGCGAACCCGCGACGCAAGAGUGGGCAGGUGUGACAUCCUUAGAGCCCAGGACACUUUCCAGAGAGCUGCGUGGGCAGGUGACCCGUCGCAGUCUGGAAAUGCGGUAGCCCUUUGGUAAAAGGGCAGCAGAAUGGAAUUGCUUGGAGCAGAUGCCCCUGUCGAGAAGUAGCUGUCCCUCUCUCUUCUUUGACCCAAAGGUGGCAGCGUGAGAAGACUCUACUGGGAGCUGAAAUUUCGAUCUGUCCAGACGGUCUGAUUUUACUCUGAGGAUUGGUACUGACGUUUAUUUUCCCUUGAAAGUGGGAUGGGGCUGUACGUGGAACUGCAAGGCCAAAGACAGGUCACCUCUUCCCAGAACCAGAUGGAAAUCCCUGGUGAGAAUGCUGUUCAGGCAGACUCCACCAGCCUUGCCUCUGGAGCAAGGCUUCCUUGCCUGACUUACACAAGUGAGAACUGCCCCCAUUUUCUCUACUGGACAGUGGACGGCCUGGAGCCCUGAGGGUGAAGUGGGACCCGUGACUCCUCAUGCUGCCUGCCUUCCCUGCGUUCAGUGCCUUUCUGGCUCAGUGCAGGUUACUUCAGCCUGGCCUCGUUCACAACAGUCCUGGAAGUGGACCGCUCAGUGCAGUGUGGGAGGGGCAGAGGAACCAGCUCAGCUACAGCUGGGAGAAGAUCUUCAGGUACAGAGAUGCCUGACCACGUACAAGCAAGUCAGGACUCAAGUUCCAGGCUCUAGAAGUAGUAGAGCAGCCCGGGCCAGGAGGCCAGCGGGGCAGUCAUCAGGACUGUGGGGCAACUGGUGAUGAGAAACUGCAUCUAAGACUGUUGGCCUGAAGCCUCUUCCUUCAGUCCCUCCUGCUUAGGACCUAGGUAGACCCAUCUUAAAUGCCACCUUCCAUAAGGCCAUUUCCACCUUUGCAAACCUUACCUAUUUUCUUCCUUGUGCAAGGAGCCCCACUAGGGGUGAUACUCCUGUCCCCUCUCUCCCCUUUUAUUUGCUUUGCCUCAGGGAACAUACAAGAUGACUGUUCUGGUCAUGCAUAGGCCAGCUCCACCCAUCCUUCCUCUUGGGAGUGAGCUGCCUGCAGGGUACAGAAUCCCACUGCUCUUGCUGAGGUGGGCUCAACCCGUCAGAGGUCAAGGGUCCGGGGAGGCUCUCUCUGGUCUAGCACAACUGGAUGGGUUAGUCGGCCUCAUUAUGGGAUUUAUGUCAGCAGUCUACUUAGCUAACAGACCUAAACUGUCCUCCAGCCCAGCCUCUCUGCCAAUAAUGAAGGGGAUGUUUUGGCCUCUGUCGGCCCCUCCUUUAUUUCUCAGACCCUCAAAAAGACCUUAGAACAGCUUUCCUGACCCCUUCAGUCUUGCCCAUCUUGUAAUUCCCACUGCAUUUUUUUGGAGUGUCUCUAGAACGACCUUUCAUUAUUUGGGUAACUACCUUAUUUCCUUCCCUCACCAGCUGAGAUCUAAGAGAGACACUCCGGAGAUCAGCUGGGUAGACAAAUACAAAUGAAAACAAUAACUUCAGGAGACAGACUUGGAAACAAUGACGAGGUCACGUCACGAGUGUGCUAAUGGGGCUCCAGAUAAGACUCUGUCAGGAGCAGCAACGGGGGCAGCAUGACUCUGCGGGGGAAGGGAAGGCUCAGAACACGGGGCGGCCCCACAGGCCCGGCGUCCUCUCCAAUUCUGGGCGACACUGUGUCUCAGCUGCUCAGCCUCUAUUCCCCCUUCCUUUAGUAAAAAUACUUUUAUUUCCUUUUCAUGGGACCACCUCUCCUUCCUUUCACCCGUGUGACUCUAUUCCCAGCAUCAGGGGUUGACAAGUGACCCCAGACCAAGCCAGUCAGGGCACUCAAACUUCCUGGCCGCUGGGACUUAUUUGGGAACAAGGCCAGUCCCAAGUUGGUCAAAUUAGAGUGAACCCUGGGACACUUGUAAACUGCAAGGAAGUAGAGCUUGCUUUGUUUUUGGUUGAACUUAUGCUCUGAGGAAAGCCUGGAGCUAAGUAACCCUUGUGUCACCAUUAGGGAAAAGCCUGGCUGGGAAAUGGAGCCAGCUUCUGGGAGUGAGAGUGACAAGGUCCAGAGAGCACCUCUGGAGCCCCUGAAUUCACUGCAUUGCUUGCCUUUGCUGGUACCCAGCCAGUAAAUUCCUUUCAUGCAUGACCAAUUUGAGUGUUCAGUCACUUUGCAACUAAAAGCGUACUCACUAAAUAUACCCUUACGUAAGAUCAGAAAAGAGGUUUCAACAUGAAGAGGAAAAAUAGCGAAUGUUGGUGAGAAUGUGGAGAAAUUGGAAACCUCAUGCAUUGCUGAUAGGAACAUAAAAUGAGGCAGCUACUUUGGAAAACAGUCUGGCAGUUCCUCAGACUAUUAAACACAGCCACCAUGACCCAGCAAUUCCACUCUUAGACAUUACCCAGGAGGACCGAAAACAUACGUUUACACAAAGACUUGUACAGAAAUGUUUGUCGAAGCAUUAGUGACAAUAGCCAAAGAGCAGGAACAACCCAAAUGUCUGUCACCUGAUGAAUGGAUAAACAAAAUGUGGUGUACAACUAUGGUAGAGUAUGAGCCAUAAAAAUCAAUGAAGGGCUGACACAUGCUACAACAUGGUUGAGCCCUGAAAACAUUUGCUAAGUGCCAGAAGCCAGACAGGAAAGGCCACAUGGUCCAUUUACAUGAAAUGUCCAGAAUAGCUAAAUCUGUUGAGACAGAAAGUAGAUUAGUGGUUGUAAGGGGCUGGGCCGGGGACAGGAAUGGGGCCAAUGGGUACAGGUUUCCUUUGGGGAUGAUAAAAAUGUCCUGGAAUUAGUGGUGAUGGUUACACAGCCUUGUGAACAUAAAAAGCACUGAAUUAUUAAGAUAAACAACAAGUUCGUGCUGUAUAGCACAGGGAACUAUAUUUAACAUCUUGUAGUAACUUAUGGUGAAAAAGAAUAUGAAAAUAUGAGAAUGAAUAUUUGUAUGUUCAUGUAUGCCUGAAGUGCUGUGCACCAGCAACUGACACAACACUGUAAACUGACUAUACUUCAAUAAGAAAAACUAUAUAUAUACAAAAGAAGCCACCGAAUUAUACUUCCCAAGGGUGCAUUUCAUGGUACGUGAAUUCUAUCUUAAUAAAAAUAAAUGUGACCAGAAUGUUAAUAAUUGGUAAAUCUAGCUAAAAGGUAUAUGGGAAUUCAUUGUCCCAUUCUUGCAACUUUUCAGCAAGUAUAAAGUUUUUCAAAAUGAAGUUGUUUUGUA